UGAGUAACCUGCCCUUAACUCUGGGGUAAGCCUGGGAAACUGGGUCUAAUACCGGAUAUGACUCCUCAUCGCAUGGUGGGGGGUGGAAAGCUUUAUUGUGAUUUUGGAUGGACUCGCGGCCUAUCAGCUUGUUGGUGAGGUAAUGGCUCACCAAGGCGACGACGGGUAGCCGGCCUGAGAGGGCGACUGGCCACACUGGGACUGAGACACGGCCCAGACUCCUACGGGAGGCAG
rnacentral:rRNA from 1 species